GGAUUGUGGCUCAGUGGUAGAGCACUUGCCUAGCACAUGUGGGGCGCUGAGUUCAAUCCUCAGCACCA
rnacentral:tRNA from 1 species